rnacentral:lncRNA from 1 species
UUUAGGCUUUUCGGGGGAUAAAAUUAUCAGUUGUGUGAGCAAGAGCAUGGAUAUAUUGAUGCUUUCUAGAGUGAAAUGCUAGGCUUGUGUAGUGAACUAAAUCAAUCUGUUGUUAAAUCAUCUGUCAUUCGAUCAUGGCAACUGCAAGUUCAAUUCCGAGCCAGGAACUACUCGAUCAGCUUCCAAAACAUUUGCAUUGGGAAGCUUACAAUAUCUAUCAAUGGGAAG